UUGGUUACUCCAUUUUGCAUGUAGGGAUUUACACAAUGAACAGGUGUAUAGUUGCAUUUGAGAUUCAAUAGCAAAUGAAUGUAAACUAUUUUGAUCUGAAUGGCUUUCUCAAUAUAUUUUUUUUGCCAAAGCAAUGAUACGUGACUAUAGCCAUGUGAAUAACUGACCUAAUGUUCAUAUAAAUAGUCAUAUAGUUUGACUAAGUUUAAUAGUCAUUUGACAAUUGUGCCAAAGCGAUUGAGAAAACCUGGAAGUGGACAGGGAGG